UACCUGGCUGGAGGACGAGGGGUUCG
rnacentral:piRNA from 1 species